CUAAAAGACCCUCUAAGGAGUCAGAUGUUCAGUUUUUUUGUCAAACUACAGCAAUCACAAGAAUAUAAACAACAUCGGGGAAAGAAGGACAAAAGGUUCAGAUCUGCAAAUGGUCACAGAUGGCUCCGGACAAACUCGACUACACCCGAGGCAUAGGCCACUGCAUCCAGCAGGGCCUGUGUCUGGCUGAAGGAUUUAAUCCUUUAUACCCCACUGGGACUGUGCAGCAGAGGCAUCUUUACAGACCUUUUCUCAGUAUAAAGCCUGUUGUUACUUUCUUUUUCAGCACUGAAUUCUGUUCCAUGAGCAUAUCAAAGCAGGGGGCCCCGGCCGAUCACGUGGAACAGCUCUUCACAAUGCCUUUACUGAAGGCAAUAUCGGUCAACAUAAAACUACAUUCUGGCUUUAAAACUGAUGGGAUUGUGCUGGUAUUACUUUAAUUAAAUUAAGAAAAACAAGCUUACUUGAUUAAGAUUAAGCUGCUUUGCUUUUUACUGUAAUGCCGUAGAAACAACAAAAAUGAUAAAGUGACUGCUGAAAAAACAUCUGUUAGUUGGAUUUAAGCAUUUGUUCACAAGACACACUUUGUAAACUAUGUCAUGUAAAUGUUAAUCUAUGUUAUAGACGCCUGCUCCUUACUUAGUGUUGGUAUUACUGGUAUUACAUUCAUUCGUCAUUUAUAAAUUCAGCAACAUUUGGCUUGACCUGACAUUAAUCCAGUACCCACAAUGAAUUUAAGCACUUUCCAUUGACAAGAACAUUAGAAUUGCUUCCAUUUUAGUCCAUAUUCAUUCAUCCUCUUUGAGGCUGUAUUUAGGCACAGCAGUGCUUUAGCUAACUGUUAACAUUAGCCCAAAACAUAGUCAUUAAGUAUCAGACAAAUUAACAAAUGUUGACCUGUUGAUGGUGUAAGAUUUAAGUUCAAGGGAUCACUAAAGUUACAAUUAAUCCUGCAGAGACCAUGAACGUCAUUCAAUAGUUAAAGUCAACCUCAUGGGGGUGCUGGAGGUAAAGCCAGCGGAUCGCCAAAGUCAUUAGGAUCCAUCCUCUGGGGACCAUGAAUGUCUGUUGUUUGCUUCAUUGCAGCUGAACAUGUUUUGCUAUUUGGGUGUAUUAUCUUAUUUGUCUUCCCCCAACCACCAAUGUGGGGCUGCCCUCUGUUGCCACAGUUUUGAAGUAUUCUAAUGGAUCACAUUUAAUGAAUCUAAUAGAGACAUUUCAAAGACAUGACCAGCCCUGACUCUAUUUCCCAUCAUUCAAUUGGUAGAGUGCUUCCAGAAUCCUCGACACAUUAGCUUAGCAUCAGUGUCUUGCUCAAGGACGCUGACAAAGGAAAGCUUAAACCUGUGACCUUUGAGGUGUACCGCAGUCAGCAUGAGCUAGCAGCUGUGUCACUCUGCUUUAGCCUGCCUGCAGAAGCACAGAGGAGCUGCUAAUCCACUUUCCCGGUUGUUACUACAGACUCUACUGAUGCAAACCUAUGACUAAUCAUGUGUUCAUCUGAUAAACUCCUCAUAAGUCCUUCCAUACACCUCCACCCACCUUUCACUGUGAUUCUUUGCUCUUAGUAAGAAAGCAACAGUUCUAUUCAACAGA